rnacentral:rRNA from 1 species
GAUGAACGCUGGCGGCGUGCCUAAUACAUGCAAGUCGAGCGAACAGAUAAGGAGCUUGCUCCUUUGACGUUAGCGGCGGACGGGUGAGUAACACGUGGGUAACCUACCUAUAAGACUGGGAUAACUUCGGGAAACCGGAGCUAAUACCGGAUAACAUUUGGAACCGCAUGGUUCUAAAGUGAAAGAUGGUUUUGCUAUCACUUAUAGAUGGACCCGCGCCGUAUUAGCUAGUUGGUAAGGUAACGGCUUACCAAGGCGACGAUACGUAGCCGACCUGAGAGGGUGAUCGGCCACACUGGAACUGAGACACGGUCCAGACUCCUACGGGAGGCAGCAGUAGGGAAUCUUCCGCAAUGGGCGAAAGCCUGACGGAGCAACGCCGCGUGAUUGAUGAAGGGUUUCGGCUCGUAAAACUCUGUUAUUAGGGAAGAACAAACGUGUAAGUAACUGUGCACGUCUUGACGGUACCUAAUCAGAAAGCCACGGCUAACUACGUG